UACGGAGGAUCCAAGCGUUAUCCGGAUUCAUUGGGCUUAAAGGGUGCGUAGGCGGACUGAUAAGUCAGCGGUGAAAUCCCACGGCUCAACUGUGGAACUGCCGUUGAUACUGUUAGUCUUGAAUGCAGAUGAUGUGGGCGGAAUAUGACAUGUAGUGGUGAAAUACUUAGAUAUGUCAUAGAACACCGAUUGCGAAGGCAGCUCGCAAAACUGUGAUUGACGCUGAGGCACGAAAGCGUGGGGAUCAAACAGG
rnacentral:rRNA from 1 species